CAGCAGCCGCGGUAAUACAGAGGAUGCAAGCGUUAUCCGGAAUGAUUGGGCGUAAAGCGUCUGUAGGUGGCUUUUCAAGUCCGCCGUCAAAUCCCAGGGCUCAACCUUGGACAGGCGGUGGAAACUACCAAGCUGGAGGACGGUAGGGGCAGAGGGAAUUUCCGGUGGAGCGAUGAAAUGCGUUGAGAUCGGAAAGAACACCAACAGCGAAAGCACUCUGUUGGGCCGACACUGACACUGAGAGACGAAAGCUAGGGGAGCAAAUGGGAUUAGAUACCCGUGUAGUCCCUGUCUCUUAUAC
rnacentral:rRNA from 1 species